UACGUAGGGUGCAAGCGUUGUCCGGAAUUAUUGGGCGUAAAGGGCUCGUAGGCGGUCUGUUGCGUCGGGAGUGAAAACUUACAGCUUAACUGUGAGCGUGUUUUCGAUACGGGCAGACUUGAGGCAUUCAGGGGAGAACGGAAUUCCUGGUGUAGCGGUGAAAUGCGCAGAUAUCAGGAGGAACACCGGUGGCGAAGGCGGUUCUCUGGGAAUGUACUGACGCUGAGGAGCGAAAGUGUGGGGAGCGAACAGG
rnacentral:rRNA from 1 species